rnacentral:rRNA from 1 species
UGGGGAAUAUUGGACAAUGGGCGCAAGCCUGAUCCAGCAAUGCCGCGUGUGUGAAGAAGGCCUUCGGGUUGUAAAGCACUUUUAUCAGGAGCGAAACGCUGUCGGCUAAUACCCGGCGGAACUGACGGUACCUGAGGAAUAAGCACCGGCUAACUUCGUGCCAGCAGCCGCGGUAAUACGAAGGGUGCAAGCGUUAAUCGGAAUUACUGGGCGUAAAGCGUGCGUAGGCGGUUUCUUAAGUCUGCUGUGAAAUCCCCGGGCUCAACCUGGGAAUGGCAGUGGAUACUGGGAGGCUAGAGUGUGUCAGAGGGUGGUGGAAUUCCCGGUGUAGCGGUGAAAUGCGUAGAGAUCGGGAGGAACAUCAGUAGCGAAGGCGGCCACCUGGGACAACACUGACGCUGAGGCACGAAAGCGUGGGGAGCAAACAGGAUUAGAUACCCUGGUAGUCCACGCCCUAAACGAUGCGAACUGGAUGUUGGUCUCAACUCGGAGAUCAGUGUCGAAGCUAACGCGUUAAGUUCGCCGCCUGGGGAGUACGGUCGCAAGACUGAAACUCAAAGGAAUUGACGGGGUCAUA